rnacentral:lncRNA from 1 species
CUGCUGGGUUGAAUUACUGGUUUAUUGUAAAACACAGUUACUCUGGCUGUGCCACAGGCCUUUUAAUAUGGCUGGAGCCUGUAACUUUUAAGCCCUCGCAUGACUUCAGCGCGAGAGACAGCUGCAGUGGUCCCCCAGUCUCUAGCUGAAACAUAAAAAUGAAAACCUGGGAAGUGCCAGCUCGUGCCCUGGGUCCCAGAAAACAGAUCAGUUCCAUUCCCCGCAGCAACGUGAAAGGUGACCACAUCUCAGAGGCAACUGAGAGAAGCAAGGAAAGACACAGAAAGGACUGCGGUCCUUUCCCCACAACUUGAGUAAGAGGCAAUGGGUGUUCAUCUUCUCCGGAGGCGGGCACAAACCCCUCCUCCUGGUCCAGGCACAGUAGUGAGGUGGGGGUGAUGUGCUUAUGUGGUAUAGUCCAGC